UACGUAGGGGGCAAGCGUUGUCCGGAUUUAUUGGGCGUAAAGAGCGUGUAGGCGGUUUGGUAGGUCCGCUGUGAAAACUCGAGGCUCAACCUCGAGACGCCGGUGGAAACCAUCAGACUAGAGUCCGGAAGAGGAGAGUGGAAUUCCGUGGUGUAGCGGUGGAAAUGCGCAGAUAUCAGGAAGAACACCCGUGGCUAAGGCGGCUCUCUAGUACGGUACUGACGCUGAGACGCGAAAGCGUGGGGAGCGAACAGGGAUAGA
rnacentral:rRNA from 1 species